CUCUUAUUGGUGGCCACACCCACUUGGGGGUCACCACAACAUGGGAAACUGUAUUAUGGGGUCACAGCAUUAGAAAGGUUGAGAAUCACUGAUAUAGAGCCAAUUGUCCAGUUACAAUGUUUUGCUGCUUGUAAGUUGAUCAGCUGGGGUGUAAUAAAAUUCCUUAUGUUAUUUCAAACUGAGCUGUUCUGGAUAGUGAAACUUGGAACUAUGGGAAGUUGUCUUGGAGAUCAUUUGUAUAUACAAACUUCCUCCAGCUAGGUGUCCUCAGGAUGCAUGUAAUGACCACUUCUCCAAUUGCCAAUCAGCCAGCCAGUCCCAAGUUCAGAAAGAGUGUCCAUGAACAAGAGCCCUUCAGAUACGUAGACCUCACUUGAUCCCACUUGGAAUUGGAAUGAGUCAUAUGUGAAAUUCAAAAUGAGUUUGGAAUCACCUGGUGCAACUGGGCAAGAAAGAAAGACUGCUUUUGUUCCAUUAGCAGAAGGAUGCUCUGCAGAAAUCAGCAGGUGUUUAGAGAAAAUAGAGCAAGUCCCAUACUGAUGUGAAUCUCUUUAAGAGGCCUCUCCGGAUCUUUUUCCAGUGACUUCUUCAAGCUGUAUUAGACAAACCCUCUUCUUCCUUAGCAGAAAUAAACAUAAAUCAUAGUCAUGUUAGAAUGUAUGGAAUUGUACCGUAAGAAAGUAAAAGUGUCCAUGAUACCUUCUAGCCAGACCACACACUAAUCUUGGCCAUAUCUGACCCCAGGAAACUCCAGGUCACAAAACAAAGAACUUCCUGAGCUAUCAGCCAAGUCUGACCCUUUGGAUGAAACUGUUAGGAAGUUGGCAGACACUAGUAACUCAGUCAAAACCUUUAUAAAUCCCCUCCUUUACACAUACAAAGUGGUUGAGGUUGGCCAAAGAUUGCAGCCCAUUCGGGUACAUAACAGAUAUCACGUCUAUUAAUAAAAAGAUCCCUUCCACUGAGUGACUGCCACCCCCAGCCUCAAUGUUAAUUAAGCUGGAAGCCAGUUGAUAUAGUAAAUGAGUGGAAAAACCCCACAAAGUCCCCACCAGAUGCCCUCUUUGGGCCAUCCAGUUAAUUGCAGUUUCCAAUAAUUUCUUCAGGGUGGGCUUUGUUUCUGAAUAGAGAGAGUCUGACCAGGACAGAGGAAAUGUAUAAAGGUAAUCACUUGACAACUGUAAUUUCGUUGCAAACUUGGAUUGCUGUACUUCUCAAAUAAACUUUGCUUCUGUUCCAA